GCUGUGAGCUCACAGUUGGCUGUAGAAUCACUUCUAAGUAAGAAAAUUGCAGGCAUUUGGCAGCACGCACAGAUAUCCUGCAAAGAGAAGAAGUCUAAUCUCUGAAAGUAUUACGCUCAUAUGGGUUGCCAGAAAGUCUGAGGGACCCAUCAGCCAAUUUCCAUACUUGGAUCUAGAAGCAUAGAAAUGAAGGAGUGUGUACUUCCAUCAAUAUUUCAACAACCUCUGGCUUUGGAACUAUCUCAAACAGCCCAUCUCUCUACUUUGUGGGUGUGCAUCUGUAAAAAAUGGCAUGAUCUCUGCUAUUUCAACAGUGACUUCUCACUGUAAUGUGCUCCAUGUGCUGCACAGGUCUGCAUUGUCCUCCUCCAGUUGGGCACGUCCGUGAGCAAAGCAAGCUGAGAUCUCACACGAUAAUGUUGACAGUGCAACCCAAAAGUCAAAGUUUUGAAAAAACAGUGCCAAGCAAACAGAUCACACUGGAAACAAAAGCCAAAUACAGGAGCUGAAAGCUGGAUUCGUUUCACAUGCCUGAGUAAGAACAAACUGAAUCUGUCUAUCAGCAAAGGGCGGUUACAAGGAUUUGUGUCUCAGGAACUCCACUCUCUGCCAUGGAUGAGAAUAUUUUACCUCCAUCAAGCAUGGGAUGCCUAUCCAUUUUCAUAUAUCAUUCCCAGGUCGUAAGAAAAAAUUAAAUAAAUCAUGAGAUUCAUAAUAAUAA